GUGGGGAAUCUUCCGCAAUGGACGAAAGUCUGACGGAGCGACGCCGCGUGAGUGAAGAAGGCCUUCGGGUCGUAAAGCUCUGUCAUCAGGGACGAACGGCCGGUGGAGUGGAAAGCCACCGGAUUGACGGUACCUGAGAAGGAAGCCACGGCUAACUACGUGCCAGCAGCCGCGGUAAUACGUAGGUGGCAAGCGUUGUCCGGAAUUAUUGGGCGUAAAGCGCGCGCAGGUGGGAUCUUACGUCCAUUUUGAAAGUUCGGAGCUCAACUCCGUGAUGGGAUGGAAACUGGGAGUCUUGAGUACCGGAGAGGAAAGCGGAAUUCCCCGUGUAGCGGUGAAAUGCGUAGAUAUGGGGAGGAACACCAGUGGCGAAGGCGGCUUUCUGGACGGUGUCUGACACUGAGGCGCGAAAGCUAGGGGAGCGAACGGGAUUAGAAACCCCUGUAGUCC
rnacentral:rRNA from 1 species